AAAUUGUUGCAAGCCUUUCCAUACGUCACAAAAUUGGCGCAGUCUUCAUCUUCAUCACCCUCGAUCCUAGCAGCUGAGUGUUGUUCAUCACCAUGGAUGAAUCCUCCGCUACGGAAACUCGGUUGCACAUCUUCAUUUCUAUCAUGAGACGACCCUUGCUGAAAUCCAAAUCCAGCUCUACUCUUGUUCUCAGCGACCUCUACCAUGCGGCCCCACUGAUCAGUACUGCCACCUUCAACAAUU
rnacentral:lncRNA from 1 species